GCCUUCGUGGUGUAACGGUCAAACACAUUCGGCGCGUAAUCGAGAGGUCCGUGGUUCGAGUCCCGGCGAGGGCA
rnacentral:tRNA from 1 species